rnacentral:tRNA from 1 species
GAAUCAUUUAUGAGUGACAUUAGAAUACUUGACUGGCAGUCAAGAGGUCGUGGGUUCGAAUCCCAUCUUCUCCA